rnacentral:lncRNA from 1 species
CUUAAGACUGAGACUUGAAAUCUUAAUACUCUUCAACUUGUCACAACCAACCAAAUUCAAAUUCUCGAGGAAUGGAAAGUUAGGAAUUUGGCUACAAAGCCACUCAUCCUUCAGAGAAAGCAGGCGCAGAGUUAAAAAUUUAAUAUUCUUACAGGAGGCUACAUUGAUCUCGCAUGGUAAGCUUAAUUGAAUGCUAACUGUCUUCACAUUCAGAGCUUGGAUAGAAAGCCAUAGAACUUCCAGACAGUUACGAACCUUGAAUUCAUUGAGUUUGGUAAGACCAGAUAGAUCUAGAGUAUUAAAGCCAAGGCAGUUAACCAGACUUAGAUGUUCAAUCAAAGGACAGCCAUCAACUAGGCUCUCAAGGACUAGAUCGGCAGCAUAAACGCUUGUGAGACAUAAUUUUUUCAAAGAAGAUAACUUCACACUUCUCAGAGACUGCAGCUUACAACAACUUAAGGCUAACACUUGUAUUGAUUUUGAGCAUAAAACCUCUUGAGGCAAAUUGUAGCAGCGCUUGUUACGAGCGUCAACUGA